GGAAUGUGCAAACAGAGAAGUCCCCUAGCUCCAAGAACUCAUCAAUGGAAGCAAGUUCUGGGGAAGAGACUGAAGACUGGAAAAAUGAGCACGCGGUUGAUGACCCUGAAGAGGUGGUUGCCAUGGUGGAAAUGAGCAUCCGCAACAGUACUGAAAGGAGGAAUCUUGGAUAUUUCUCAUGUGGAACUGGCAAUCCAAUUGAUGAUUGCUGGCGCUGUGAC
rnacentral:misc_RNA from 1 species